UAAGAGCCGCUCGGUGUUUAAAUUGUCCUACUUAAUGGCUCCUGUCGAGUGCCGUGCCUCGCAAGUGUAUUUUAUCGUUUAAUCCUCACGGCCAGCCCCUGAGGGGCCUUCUAAUCCCCCCCCCCCGCACAGUUAAUGGCAUGUCUUUGAUGUCAGGAAGAGGAACCCCAGUUUGCUCCUCUUGGAACAACAGGCAGACAUAUAUGUAAGAGCAAAUACAGUACACAAAAGACAAAGAAAAACUAUCCCAUCCUAAAUGCAACCAGGGAAGUAAAACAGAUGACCUACAAAGGAGCUAAGAGUAACAGCAGACUUAUCUGGCACAGCAUUAGAGGCUAGGAGAUAAUGGAAUAUCUCCAAGAGAACUAUAAGAUGACAAGACCAAGGCCCAAGGAGCCAAGUAAUGUGCACAGGCUUGUAAUACAGUAUUGCUGGAAGCCAACAGAAGCUAAAUCCAGGUCUCCAGACUCUGAAUGCUGUGCUCUUCCCACCAGAGACAGCCAUAGGACUUCGAGCCCCAUUGUGCAACCUGGAAAUGUUAUGCAAAACCUUCUUGAUGCUGCUCUGAAUGACGAAAGGUGACCCAGUGGCCAUUGCACAGACAACUUCUGGCCCUGGCAGUGUUCAUUUCUCAUUGGCAUCCUUCUCCUUUACACCCACUGGCCUUCUCUGAGAAAGAACUUGCUUCCUCCAGGGGUUUCGUGGGUAUCCAUGCAGCCUCUGAAUCAAUGUGAAUCCCAAUGCCAGCCCUGCUAAUAGCACAUACACACAGCUGAGAUGUGCUGGAAGAGCUUGGGCCUAAGGAGUCAGGCCUUGGGUUCUAGUCCUGGCUGUGGCAUUUCCUUACUCUGAGGAAAUAGACUGUCUGGACCUGCCAUCCUUAUAGAAAACCUUAUUCUUUUUCUGGUCUUGGCAAGUCCUAGUGAGUGCUGGAAAAGACCUUGCAGGCCAUUUGGUCCCAGUGUAGCAAACUUGUAUCUGAUCAAGGGGUGCCUCUGCCUGAAACAGUGGAUGAGGCUGAGUCAGAAUUCAGCUGGAAGGACACUGUGGGCCAUUUUCAGGGAACUAAGAUCCCAUGUGCCACAGGCAACUAUGCCUGCACGCCACAACUACUGAGCUUGCACACCUCAACUAGGGAGCCUACGGGCUGCAAAUUACAGAGCCCACGUGCUCUGGAACCCGAGCGCCACAACUACAGAGCCCACGUGCCCUGGAACCUGCACACCACAACUAAGAGAAAACCCACACACCACAACUAGAGAGAAGCCUGUGGGCCACAACUGGAGAGAAGCUUGCAGGCUGCAACGAAGAUUCCUCAUGCCGCAACUAAGACCUGAUGCAGCCAAAAAUAAAUAAAAAAUUUAAAAUAUAUAUAUAUUUAUUUUUCGCUGCAUCGGGUCUCCAUUGCUGCAU